rnacentral:rRNA from 1 species
UACGGAGGGUGCAAGCGUUAUCCGGAUUCACUGGGUUUAAAGGGUGCGUAGGCGGGCAGGUAAGUCAGUGGUGAAAUCCUGGAGCUUAACUCCAGAACUGCAAUUGAUACUAUCUGUCUUGAAUAUUGUGGAGGUAAGCGGAAUAUGUCAUGUAGCGGUGAAAUGCUUAGAUAUGACAUAGAACACCUAUUGCGAAGGCAGCUUACUACGCAUAUAUUGACGCUGAGGCACGAAAGCGUGGGGAUCAAACAGG